rnacentral:rRNA from 1 species
GACGAACGCUGGCGGCGUGCUUAACACAUGCAAGUCGAACGGAGAGAUUUAGUUCGGUAAAUGGCUUAGUGGCAAACGGGUGAGUAACGGGUGGGACCCUGCCCUCAGGAUGGGGAACGGCUCGAAAGAGAGCUAAUACCGAAUGGGUAGAAUCCACAUGGAAGAGAUACUAAGGAUGGGUCAACUAUCGCCUAAGGAUGGGCCUGCGUCUGAUUAGCCAGAGGUGAGGUAAAGGCUCACCAAAGCGAGGAUCAGUAGCCGGUCUGAGAGGAUGAACGGCCACGAUGGGACUGAGACACGGCCCAUACUCCUACGGGAGGCAGCAGUGGGGAAUUUCGCAAUGGGCGAAAGCCUGAGGGAGAACGCCGCGUGAGUGAGGAAGGUCUUCGGAUCGUAAAGCUCUGUGUCGGGGACGAAAGGAAAGGG